AUGCACUUUUCUAUCAAUUGCUCGAUAGUAAUUUUGUUCACCCACCGUAAUACUUAUGCUAUCUUGAGAGAAGCCACUAGUGAAACCUAUGGCCCCCGGGUCUAUUUUCCAUCAUAUAAAUUUUCGAUCUAUCUUAUUUUGCAAUCUUUACUUUCCAAUCUAUAUCAUAAAAAUACUAAAAAUAUUUAUCUUAUCUUAUUAUCUCUAUCAGAUCUCACUUUCGCAAGUGGUCGUGAAGGGAUUCACAACCCCUUUAUCGCGUUGGUUGCGAGGUUCUUGUUUGUUUGUGUAGGUAUGAGGGACGUGUGUGGAGCCUCCUACUGGAUUGAUACAUUGGUUCUCAAAAACCGAGGGAAAUACUUACGCUACUUUGCUGCAUCACCCUUUCCUCUUCAAGGGAAAACCAACGCAGUGCUCAAGAGGAGGGGGCACAUCUUACGCUCAAGAGGGCCGAGAAAGCUCGCAUUUUGGUUGACAAGAUUCCGGGUACUCGGUAGUCGUGGCGCUGUUCCGCGGUGGCUUCCCAUACUAGUUGGCGGGACGGAGGAGGCUCACCGCCGUGCGUGA
rnacentral:rRNA from 1 species